AUGAGCUUUUCUGCAUUCGUUUUCCAUCCAUUGAAAAUUGUAAAAGCUUUAUGGAAACAUUCCAAGAAGUUGCCGAGUCCCAAAAACAAGUUGAUGACCAAGAAUCAUCUGCAGCAGCUACCCUUAUUGAGAAAUUAAGUGUUGAUGACAAGGCUGCUGAUGCAGAGAAGAAAGAUGAAGAGCAAUCUGCGGAAAAAACUGAGAAGUCUGCGGAAAAAACUGAGAAGCAAGCAUCAGGUGAGACCAGUAAGGCAGAUGCAGAUAAAAAAGUUGAAGAGCCUACUGCUUGA